rnacentral:RNase_P_RNA from 1 species
CGGGCCGUCCGACCCGUCGCUGUCCGGCGGAUCUCCGCCGGGUAGAGAAAAGUCCGGACUCGCGAGGAUUGGAAGGGGAGACCCUCUCCAGUCCGGAAAGGCCGCUUGGGCUAAAAACCCGAGGGGCGGGUGGCGCAAGCCCCCGUCACGUCAAGUGCAACAGAGAGUAGACCAGCCGAUGGCCGGUAUCCUGCAAGGGACCUGGCACAGGUGAUGGGUGAAAGGGUGGGGUAAGAGCCCACCGGCGGUAUCCCAUAAGGGACCGGCCAGGUAAACCACCGGUGCGAGCAAGCCAAAUUGCCCCAAUGGGGCUCCUUACGGGGCUCCGGGGCUGGUAGGCGCGGCUCCUCCCAGAGGAGCCCGGGACGUACCGCAAGGUACCUCCCGGAGAUGGAUGACGGAAUAAAGCAGGAUCCGGCUUACGGGACGGCCCGGGCU